rnacentral:lncRNA from 1 species
AGAACAUAGGGGCUUUCUGCAGGUAAGGGAGUGACAGAUGUUCAGGGGCUGGUAAAACAGGAUCUAAGCAGUGUGAAUGGGACAGACUCAGCAAAUGGGCAUUUGAGAGGCACGGCUUCCCAGAGGAGGUCCGUUCACAGGUUUGCAGGUUUGCUAAGAGCCAGGCAUGUUGAGUACGCACCAGUAAUCUCACACUGGGGUGGCUGAGGCAGGACAGUUGUGAAUUUGAAGCCAACAUGGGCUACAUAGUCAAAAAAAAAAAAAAAAAA